rnacentral:rRNA from 1 species
UACGUAGGUGGCAAGCGUUGUCCGGAUUUAUUGGGCGUAAAGCGAGCGCAGGCGGUUCUUUAAGUCUGAUGUGAAAGCCCCCGGCUCAACCGGGGAGGGUCAUUGGAAACUGGAGGACUUGAGUACAGAAGAGGAGAGUGGAAUUCCACGUGUAGCGGUGAAAUGCGUAGAGAUGUGGAGGAACACCAGUGGCGAAGGCGACUCUCUGGUCUGUAACUGACGCUGAGGAGCGAAAGCGUGGGUAGCAAACAGG